GGAAUUGCCUGGAAUAUGUUUUGUGGCCCCUCCCAGGUGUACUGGAUAGGAGUUUACUUCAGAUGACUCACUGUAAGAACCCGAGCCUGCUGUCUGCUCACAGGCUGGGGCACUUACAGGGCAGAAAGAGAGCCGGGAGAAAAAGAAAACAUUUCCUUUUUUAGCCCAUGAUUGCCGUUGCUAGGGGUAACCAGGAAGUGUCGAGUAAAAGAACUUCAGAUGGUGAUAAACAUCUCUAGUACUGUCCUUCAUUGAGGGUCAUCUGGACAGGGAGGACUGGAAUCCAGGAAAACAACGUGAUUUUAAUUCUUGUCUUUCAGGCUGCGGAGAAGCUGGGUGAGACAGAACAACGCGGUCUAAUGAUGGAAGAGUGUGGAGGCUUGGAUAAAAUUAAAGCGCUACUGAGGCCUCAUUAAACUUAACUGAGAAGUACUUCUCAGUGGAGAAGAGGAGGAUCAGAAUGUGGUGCCAGAAACUACCUCUGAAGCCUUCGCCUUCCAAAUUCAGGAUGAGCUCCCGGGACCUUCGACUUCUCACGUCCAGCCAAGGCACAAAGUUGUUAGCUAUGUGCUGUGCUAUUCUGAGUUCUCAUACACUUGUAGUACUGUUUCUCUACUAAGAACUCUUUAAAAAUGUGGUUUGUUAUUGUAGCUCCCUAACCAGUGGGCUCACUGUACCUAAGCGUCGCCAUCACAUUUUGAGGUAAAUUAAAUAAUAAGACUCUGUAGCCAGGCGGUGGUGGCUCACGCCUGUAAUCCCAGCACUCUGGGAGGCAGAGGCAGGUGGAUUUCUGAGUUCGAGGCCAGCCUGGUCUACAGAGUGAGUUCCAGGACAGCCAGGGCUACAUAGAGAAACCCUGUCUCGAAAAACCAAAUCCAAAAAACAAAAACAAAAAGACUCUGUAAACGUUUCAGAAGCACCCGAGCCCUUUCAGAGUAUGAAGGGCUUGGUUUUUCGGGCUGUGUAAAUGAACAUCCCUUGGAAUGAUCUGUGUCCAGCUUCAUCCGGAUCCUUUUCAGAUAUUUCUACUGAAUGUGAGUCAGUUUGAGACUUUUUUGAGCUUGAGGCCAGAACAAGUGGCCCCACCCUUUGCAUCUGCCGCACACUGGGUUUGCAGCUGACGUAUUACACACAAGCACAGACCUUAGAGGACAAGGUAGGGCUGCAGGUUAGCCCGCAUCCACUAACCCAGAUGGAACCUGGUGCAGGGCUGUUCUGACCAUGGGCUAGACCCUUCUCUCUUGUACACAGUGUCACUACGUGACCUCGUUUUGGCUCACCGCAUCCAUCAACAUUCUGAUUUUGUAAAUAUAAUUUUUGUAACACUUUUUAAUUUUCCUAAGGCUCUUUAUGCUUGUCACAUGAGACAAUGUCUUCCAAACUGUAUUCAGUGAUGUAAAGUUUUGUAAGGCCAAGGGGUGGGGCCAAAGGUUUCUCCGGACAGUGGCAGAAUUUCCUGAAAUCCACGGGUCUUUGGACUCUGGGACUGGGAGUCUUACACUAUAUCCCACUACGGAGUGUGGCUAUAGUCUCGAAAAUAAUAAUUGACCUCAUGACACAAGCCUGAGAUGCUUUGGGGAGCCACAUACAGAGCUUCCGGGUUUUUGUCUCUACACCCAGGCUUCUGCUGGGGUAGCUCUGCUCCCUCCUCCUUCCCUCUGUGCCAAAGCAGAACCCCUGCUUCCUGCUUCAACUACAUUAUUUCGAAAAGCAAUCUCAAUUCCUCCAGUAACACAUACGCUUCAUUUCUCACGCGAUUUUUUUUUU